CGAAAACUACCCAAAUUGACAGCUCUAGAAUUACAAAUUCGUGAGACUUGGAUGUUGCCAAGGGACUUGCAAUUGGUGUUUGAGAAGCUGGAAAGAUAUAAAAUAGCUAUUGGAGAUGUAUGGGACUGGUCUGACAUCAAGGAUGGAACCUUAAAAACAUUGAUGCUCAAACUUGGUACAAACAUACAUUUGGAGCAUGGAAUUAAAGCAUUGAUUAAAGGUGUUGAGAAUUUGUAUUUGGAUGAUGUAGAUGGAAUUCAAAAUGUGCUUCCUAACCUAAAUAGAGAAGGAUUUACAUUGCUGAAACAUCUCCACGUCCAAAAUAAUACUAACUUGAAUCACAUUGUUGACAAUAAAGAGAGAAAUCAAAUCCAUGCGUCCUUUCCCAUCUUGGAAACACUAGUACUUCUUAAUCUUAGAAACUUGGAGCAUAUAUGUCAUGGUCAACCUUCAGUUGCUUCUUUUGGAAGUCUCAGUGUUAUCAAAGUAAAAAAUUGCGUCCAGUUAAAGUAUCUUUUCUCCUUUACAAUGGUUAAAGGACUUUCUCACCUUUGUAAGAUUGAAGUUUGUGAGUGCAAUUCUAUGAAGGAGAUAGUGUUCAGAGACAACAAUUCAAGUGCUAAUAAUGAUAUUACUGAUGAAAAAAUCGAGUUUCUUCAAUUGCGUUCUUUGACUUUAGAACAUUUGGAGACACUUGAUAAUUUCUUCUCAUAUUAUUUGACACAUUCUAGAAAUAAGCAAAAGUGUCAUGGUUUAGAGCCGUGUGAUUCUGCACCAUUUUUUAAUGCUCAGGUAUGUUAUUUUGUUUUUAAGUUUCUCUCGAUACAAAUGAUAAAAAUUUUAAUAUCAAUUUUCAAUAUAUAUAUAUAUAUAUAUAUAGGGUGUAUCAAAUGAGAGGAGUGUUAAAAUGAGAGAUGAGAGCAUUAAAGGACAGUCGUUGGAUUAAAAUCAACCGCUCAGAUCACUUUUAGUUAUUAGUGUGUAUUAUAUGCUAUUUUAUUUUCUCACGCGCUAAUGAGAUCGCGUUAUUAUCUUCACCUUCAAUCUCUCUCUUUUCCAUUUUUGGAUUGACAAUCCAAGCAAUUUAGUGGCACCUGUGUCAAAUUGCAUCUUUAUUCUAAAACACAAUUUCAGUUCACCAUUAUAUCCAAAAUCAAUAGAAACUUAAGUGAAUCAUAAACACCCAGAUUUUGAAUUUUGUAAAAAUUAGUAAGAGCUAUCAUUUGGUGUGAUUCUUUUUUGGAUUAAAAAUAAGAUUUGAUGCAUCAAAAUUGCCUUGCCCAAAAUCUGGAAAAAAGAUUAUAGACCGGGGUUUUAGGGUUGUGAUUUAACCCUCACAUCUCUCAAUGUAAAUAUUGCUCUCAUUUGAUACAUCCCAUAUAUAUAUAUAUAUAUAUACACGCAAAUAUAGGUGUGUGUGUGUGAGAGAGAGGCCUAUCAUUAUAGUCACCAUAUCACCAUAUAUAGGCCUUCAAUAAUGUUUUUGUUAAUUUGUUUUUAACGUAGGUUGCAUUUCCUAAUUUGGAUACCCUUAAAUUGAGCUCACUUCUCAAUUUGAAUAAAGUCUGGGAUGACAAUCAUCAAUCUAUGUGCAACUUGACUAGCUUGAUUGUGGAUAAUUGUGUUGGAUUGAAGUAUUUAUUUCCCUCUACUUUGGUUGAAAGUUUUAUGAACCUCAAACACCUUGAAAUAAGUAACUGUCAUAUGAUGGAGGAGAUAAUAGCUAAAAAAGACAGAAACAAUGCACUGAAAGAGGUAUGCUAAUUCUAUUAUUGGAGCAUCCAAUUAAUUUUAAAUAAUUAUUUAUUCUGAUGGUAGUUAUUUAUGAAUUCAUAGGUUCGUCUUUUAAAUUUAGAAAAAAUCAUAUUGAAGGAUAUGAACAACUUGAAGACAAUAUGGCAUCGUCAAUUUGAAACAUCGAAGAUGUUGGAAGUGAACAAUUGUAAGAAAAUUGUGGUGGUUUUUCCUUCUUCAAUGCAAAACACAUAUAAUGAGCUUGAGAAGUUGGAGGUUAGAAAUUGUGCUUUAGUUGAAGAGAUAUUUGAAUUGACUUUCAAUAAAAAUAACAGUGUAGAGGUUACGACACAUUUGAAAGAAGUUACUAUAGAUGGACUGUUGAAGCUGAAAAAGAUAUGGAGUGGAGAUCCUGAAGGAAUUCUUAGUUUUCGAAAUCUAAUAAAUGUACAACUAGUUAGUUGUAGAAGCUUGGAGUAUCUAUUACCACUCUCCGUAGCCACUCGUUGCUCACAUCUCAAGGAACUUGGUAUAAAAUGGUGUGAAAACAUUAAGGAAAUUGUUGCAGAGGAGAAAGAAUCUAGCUUGAGUGCAGCUCCCAUAUUUGAGUUUAAUCAACUAAGUACUUUAUUGCUUUGGAACUUACCUAAACUCAAUGGUUUCUAUGCUGGAAAUCAUACUCUAGCAUGCCCAUCUUUGAGAAAAAUCAAUGUCUCUAGAUGUACAAAGUUGAAAUUGUUCAGAACACUAUCUACAAGAAGCUCCAAUUUUCGAGAUGACAAACCCUCUGUUUUAACGCAACCACCACUUUUCAUUGCUGAAGAGGUACGCAUGAUAAACACUCUGCAGGACUUGUUUUUUAUUUUAUUUUACAUUAAGGAGUUAGCGUUAUUCUUUAAUCUUUUGAAAUACCGAUCAACUACUUCCUCCGAUCCUAAAUAUAUGAAAAGUAUCUGUUCUUUAGGUUCCUUAAAUAAUUAAUGUAUUUGAGCUAUACUAUAUAAACUAAAUACAUCAUUUAUUCAAUGAACCUAAAAAUAAAAAUUUCUCUUAGGACCAGGAGUAUUACUAUUCAUUUAUAAAUUUGGAAAAAUUUAAAACAACCCAAAAACUUUAUAAAAAGACAAACCAUAUUUAAUGUCAAAAGUUAUUAAAAUAUUUUACAUUAUAGAUAUACUCCCUACGGUCUCGAAUGUGAGAAACAAAACAAAAAAAUUGAUGGUCUCAAAUAUAAGCAAAAAUAUAAAAAAAUCGUCCUAUUAAAUGUUGCUAUUCCAAUCUCACCCUCAUUAACUUUAUUUAAUUUGUUUCACAUUCCCAUGUUUAACACUUUCUAAAGAGUAUUCAUUGGUUUAGUUCAAAAGUCAUGUUUUCUCGUAAAAUGUUUCUAUCAUUAAUAUCUGAAUGUGUACUACUUGAGAAAUAACUCCAGAACAAGGGGAAAAAAAAUAGAAAAAUGGUAUUUUUUUUUUUAUAAUGACUUAAAUACAGUCAUUCCACUUUCUUCGUAGGUGUGCCUUUUUUUUUCCUUACAUUCAAGAUCGGAAGGAGUACUUGAUAAUUUCUAUAACAAAAAUACUCCCUAAGUUCCUUUUUAAGUGUCACUUUUGGAGAAAUUUUUUGUUCCUAUUUAACUGUCACUUUCAAAGUUCAAUGUAACAUUAAAUGUUGUUUUACCAAUAUUAUCCUUAGUUAUUUAUUGUGGAGAGAGAAAUAUAUGAAAUGAGAUAUUAAAUUAAUAAAGUCAUUAUAGUAAAAGUAUAGCUUAUUGCAUCCAAAGUAGUAUCAAUUAUUGAUUGUCUUGAUUUAUGUAAAAUGUCAAAAUGUGAUAAUUAAAAAGGAACGGAGGUAGUAACAACUAGCAAGAGUGGCAUUUAAAUACAAAAUUGAUAAUUUCCAUAAAUUGAUAUAUUUGAGUAUAAAAGAAAUUGAAAAAAGUACAGAGAUAUUGGCAAAAAUUAAAAAGACAAAUUUUAGUCAAUAGUAAUUAUUGUUUCACUCAAUAAUAAAAUGUUUAAUUCUCUUACAUUGUUGUUUAAAUAUGUUUUAGGUGAUUCCAAACUUGGAGCUGUUGAGGAUGGUACAGGCGGAUGCUGACAUGAUAUUGCAAACCCAAAACUCAAGUUCCCUCUUUUGCAAAAUGACCUAUCUUGGAUUGGCUAGCUAUAACACCGAGGAUGCUAGAUUUCCUUAUUGGUUUCUUGAAAAUGUGCAUACUCUUGAGAAUCUACAUGUUGAGUGGAGUUGCUUCAAGAAGAUAUUUCAAGAUAAAGGACAAAUAAGUGAGAAGACUCAUACACAAAUCAAAACACUGAUGUUGAAUGAAUUACCUAAACUUCAACAUAUAUGUGAUGAAGGAUCUCAAAUUGACCCAGUUCUUGAGUUCCUUGAAUACUUAAGGGUUCGUAGUUGUUCUAGUUUGACAAAUUUGAUGCCUUCCUCCGCCACCCUUAAUCAUCUCACAAAGUUAGAGGUAAUAAAAUGCAAUGAGCUAAAAUAUUUGAUCACAACUCCUACUGCACGAAGUUUAGACAAGCUCAUUGUGCUGAAGAUAAAAGAUUGUAAUUUACUUGAAGAAGUAGUUAAUGGAGUAGAAAAUGUUGACAUUGCUUUUAUUAGUUUACAAAUUUUGAAUUUGGAAUGUUUGCCAAGUCUCAUCAAAUUUUCCUCUAGUAAGUGUUUCAUGAAGUUUCCAUUAUUGGAGGAAGUAAUUGUGAGGGAAUGUCCUCGGAUGAAGAUUUUUUCAGCGGAAAACAUAAGUACACCAAUUCUUCAAAAAGUUAAAAUUGCAGAAAAUGAUUCAGAAUGGCUUUGGAAGGGAAACCUAAAUGAUACAAUAUACAACAUGUUUGAAAAUAAGGUAUGUUUAUUUACCACUUUACUUCUUGUGUAACAAUAUAAUGAUUUGGGUUUCUAUUUUCUUUUGUUUUGUUUGGAUGCAUAAUAGCUUAUUUUAAAAGUAUAUCGCAAUAUACUCUUAAAAAAAAGGGUUAACAGGUCUUUACUCCCUGUAAUAUAGGUUAUUUCCGAUUUUCCCCACGUAAUUUUUUUUUUAUUUGCCCCCUGUUCAAAAAAAUUGUUUUGAUUUACCCCUCUAAUAAGCCAAACAAAAACCAAUUUUAAUUUUUUUUCAAGAAAUUUUCGUUUUUGUUUGGCCUAUUAGCGGGGUAAAUCAAAACAAUUUUUUUUUACAGGGGUAAAUCAAAACAAAUUUUUAUUAUGCAUAAUAGCUGAAUGUUGUUUGGAUAGUUUUUUAUCAAAAUUGCUUUUGAAUGUAUAAUUACUAAAAUGGACAUAGCUAAAUUCAAGUAAAUGUGCUUAGUCAAAUGUAUAUGUAGAUCAAUACUAAAUGUAGAUAUAUUAUUUAAUUUAAAUAAAUAAAUUUUCUAUAUAUAUUAAUUUAAAACAUAAUAAAUACGAUCAUUAACCUAAUUUUUUUACUAAAUAUUUGUUCGUAUAUUUUAUAUUUUUUGAUAAAAUAUAUUUAAGUUAAAUAAUACUAGAGUUAGUUGCCAAAAAUGAUAAAAUAUAGCGUAAAAGAAAUGUAAAAGAAAAAAAUACAGUAAAUUUGAAUGGGGACACCGUAAAGAAAAAUUCAAAAUUUGGUAAGUCAUGACCAUAAACAUUUUUCGGGGGCUAAUUUGGUUCGUUCAGUUUUGUAAUUAAAUUUGGUUCAUCAAGUUAAAUUACAAAGCAAAAAGAAGGAAAUUGAUAAAGGGCAAUAAAGGAAAAUAAUAGGUUGUAAUAAUCAAAAUAGAAAAUUUAAUGUAGAAUUGAUUCUAGAAAAGCUAGAAGCUAGGAUUUAUAGCUUUAAGGAUAAUUGCUUUUGGAGGAUAGAAUCAAUUCUUAAAAGCUAAACCAAACACCAUUAAAAACUCAGUUUUUCACUUUUGAAGGUUGUAGAAUCAUUUCUUGAUGUUGAAAAGCCAAACCAAACAGGCUCAAUGUAAAUAUAUGCCAUUAAAAAAAAUAGUAAUUUUGAUUUUUUUAGGAGAGUAAUUUUGAUCUGCCUGUUCAUAUAUAUUCGAUAUACUAUAAUUUGAAUGAGCAAGUUGGAUGAUGUAAUUCAAAUAUUCCACCUUUUCAACUACCUUGAGGUAAAGUAUUUGUGGUAUAACCAACUUUAACACAAUGUGUUAUUUGGUUGGCAAUUUAAAACUUCUAGUAGUUCUUAGACGUGUGCAUUUUCCCACAAAUGUACUACAAGUGCUGCAUAGAUAUUAUCAAAAAAAGGAAAAAAAAAGUGCUACACAGAUAUGAAAAACUAUUAGAGAUUGUGAUAGAUGUGAAAGAAAUGGAGUUUAAGAUAUUGAAAAAACAGUUCUAACUCGUUUAGAUGAAACGACGUAUAUCUCUUAUAAUUUAACUAAAGUCGUGGGUUCGAAUCCAAUCUUAUACAUAUAAAAAUGUUUAAACUUUUAUGGAGAGUUUACUGCUCAUUUGAAUCCCAUAAAGAUUGAAAUAUUAGUAUCCACGCGCUAAGGAUAACCGAUUUGUGUGGGAAAAAAUAUUGAAAAUUACUAAACGAAUUUAUCCACUAAUAUAUUAUGUAAUAUGAUUAAGGUAAAGAGCUCCUGAACUAUAUAUAUAAUUACAAAAUAAAAGUGUGUGUAUUUUUUAAGAAAAAUGCUAAAGUGCACGCGACUUUUUUUAAAAUCUAUACUAUUUCAUGCUUUUGAUAAUAUUAAUUAAAAGAUAAUUAAAUACCACUAAAAUAGGAACCACAUCAAUAUACAAGAGAAAUGGCACACGAAUCCUCUCCCGCAGGGUUCUCUCCUUCAAGCUCUUCUGCACUAUUCACAGGCCUUGGAUCAAUCUGAUGGUUGAGGGACAAAACACGUAAAACAAUUAAAAAGUGAUAUACUAUUUACUUUGACUUUGUUUUAACCGUCUCAGCUUUUGCUACAUGAGCACUCCCUUUGGUCUCUCAAUUUUAGAUUUCUUUCUUUAUCCUGUUACGUAUCUGAUUAUGUAUAUGUCAUGAAUAUCAUUGGUAAACAAAAGGUUUCUUGAAUGCUAUUAGUUGUCCUCACUGCUCCCAAAAUAAAAACACAUGAAUGCAAUCAAGUUAACCAUGUAAUUUGAAAUAACUUGUUCAGUGUGAUGUUGACCUCUUAACUCAGGCCCCCUCUAGGGUGGGAGGGCUUAAUAGGUCUCUCACCAUGAGCAACUCAAGAAAACAAUUUUUAAUGGUUAGAUGUUAAAAUUCUAUGAUUCUUAGCAUACACAGACAACACUUAAUAUUUUUUUAUUUAAUUCUUAUUUCCGUAUCCUAUUUCCUCUCCAGCUAGAACCUUCUCUCCUCUUCAUCUUGAUUAAACUAACAAAUUUUUAUUGUCUAGAAUCCAGAAAUUUCUAAAACAAAAUUCUCUCUCCUCUUCAUCUUAAAUUUAUGAAAAACAAAAAUUACUGGACAAAAAUCUACUUUGUAACAAAACAACAACCAGACCCAUAAUUUUUUAUCUAUUGAUUUGAUUUCAAAGCUUUGUGUUACUCUGAUUAGCCAACCGCAAACAAUGGUGGAGUUUGAUGAAUCUCUUACUGGAAUGACAGAUCUUGAUAACCCCAUUCAUACCAACUGUAAAAUCCAGCAUGUCAAAGACUCAAAUUUUUGGUUUUCAACCCCUCAAAUAACCUCUCAAACAUUCUUCAGACUUUCAAUCAAACUAUAGAUGUUGAUGAUUAUAGAUUUUGAUUUUUUUCAUGAAAAUUGCAUAUUUCAAUUUUUUGUAUGUUUAUUGCCGAGUUUAAAUUUUUGUAGGGCGGUGUGUUUAAUUAAUUUUACUGGAGGAGAAAAAUCAUAUGUUGAAGAAGGUGGUUCACUAUUUUUGUUCGUAUUAUAAUUUUUAAAUAACAUAACCAUGUUAUUCAAACCCAGGAAUGAAGAUGAAAAGAGAGGAGACAUAGAAGUUAAUUAAACUACUGAUAGUACAUGAUAAGGGUUUGUGUGACGUUGCCAUCUAGCUGUCUAUCAAACUCUCGCACCGUGCGAGACCUAAUAAGCUUGCACACGCUAGCAUCCGCCCUUAACUCAAACGAUUUAUACAUACAUAUCGGUGAUAACGCAAGACUAUUAGGAUUGUGUUAUUAUUAUUAUUAUUUUUAGGAAUUAAGUUUGUGUUCUAUUUUGGGUUAGAUUUUUUAUUAUUCCAAUCAUACCUUUAAAUUUUUCUAUAAUAAAGAUAUAUUGUUGGUCUCAUGGAAAAGAACAAGAGUUUAAAUGUCACAAAUCUAUAGAUAUAAUUUUAAUCAAAAUUUAAAUUUCACAAAAAAAUGGUUAUAUAUGUUACCUCAAUUUUCUCGGCGGUGAUUUCGCCAGAAGGUUGGUUUCAUGGUGCGUUCUGUGUUUUCCUGUGGUUGUGCCGACAACUUCGAUUUUUCCAGAUCAUAGCCGUCGCGACGUGGUUCUCGUAGAUCUGUAUCCCCUUUGUUGUUGUGGUGGUUUUUGAGGCGGUUGGCGGUGGUGUUUUCUUCCGACGCGGUGGUGGUCCUGGAUUUGUCCUUUGCUCCGAUCUGAAAUCUCCCAAGUCUGUUGGUGGUAAAGAGAUGGUGUUGUGGUUUUGGUGGUCUUGGUACCGCACGGCUACUCUCACCAGAUCCGAACUCUUCAUCGAAAUUCGCUACUCCGUCUCCCCCACUGUGCUACAUCCCAGUUCAAUCGCAUCCGGUCCGUCACCAUCAAAGGCAAACUUCAGGCAUGGUGGUGGAGGUGUUGUUUGGUUUGGAGGUAUUUUUUAGAGGUGGUGGUGCUGCUUUUUAGUGGUAUGGUGGUGAGAUGGUGGUGGUUUGCGGUGAUGUCGUGGUGGUGGUGCUUUUUCCUUGUCACCGGCGGCUGCCUUUAUAUGUUUGGGUUGUGUUUCCAUUUCAAACCGGCGUUGCUGCCCGAAUUUUGUUAAUGGUUUUCGUCUUCUCUAGAUAUGUGUUUGUGUGGCCGUCUAUUGACGAGGAGAAGUGGUGGUGGUGGUGGUAUGUUUUUGAGGUGGUGGUGUAACACCUCGUUUUCCCAACUUAAAAAUUUUAUUUAAAUAAUCAGAGUUUUCCACAUAAACGGAAUGCUACCUUCAUAAAAUCAUAAAUAAGAUAAUUAACUAAUUAUCCUUCAACAUAAAUCAAAUUCCAAAACAUUGCAGCGGAUUAAAUUCAUCAACAUAAAUAAGUCUUGGCAAGUUACUCAUACGAAGAACAACAUUUCCAAGCAGAAGGUGUGAGAUUUCACAAAACAAUAAUAUUAAACAUAUAAUUCAACAAUUAUAUUUAACAACAUAAAUAUCAUCAAUUAAUAAUAAUAUAAUCAACAACAUAAAUCAUCAUCUUAUAAUAACAUAAACAUAACAAAGCAACAACAUAUUCAUCAUUAUUCCAUGGUUUGUCAUCAACAACAACUUCAACGAUUCAACAACGACAGCGUCAAUCUGACAAUAUAGCUACAUGAGAGUACACCACCUCUUAUAAUACGACUACGUAAGAGUACACCACCUCUUAUAAGACGACAACGUAAGAGUACACCACCUCUUAUAANUAGAGGUUACGACACAUUUGAAAGAAGUUACUAUAGAUGGACUGUUGAAGCUGAAAAAGUUAUGGAGUGGAGAUCCUGAAGGAAUUCUUAGUUUUCGAAAUCUAAUAAAUGUACAACUAGUUAGUUGUAGAAGCUUGGAGUAUCUAUUACCACUCUCCGUAGCCACUCGUUGCUCACAUCUCAAGGAACUUGGUAUAAAAUGGUGUGAAAACAUUAAGGAAAUUGUUGCAGAGGAGAAAGAAUCUAGCUUGAGUGCAGCUCCCAUAUUUGAGUUUAAUCAACUAAGUACUUUAUUGCUUUGGAACUUACCUAAACUCAAUGGUUUCUAUGCUGGAAAUCAUACUCUAGCAUGCCCAUCUUUGAGAAAAAUCAAUGUCUCUAGAUGUACAAAGUUGAAAUUGUUCAGAACACUAUCUACAAGAAGCUCCAAUUUUCGAGAUGACAAACCCUCUGUUUUAACGCAACCACCACUUUUCAUUGCUGAAGAGGUACGCAUGAUAAACACUCUGCAGGACUUGUUUUUUAUUUUAUUUUACAUUAAGGAGUUAGCGUUAUUCUUUAAUCUUUUGAAAUACCGAUCAACUACUUCCUCCGAUCCUAAAUAUAUGAAAAGUAUCUUUUCUUUAGGUUCCUUGAAUAAUUAAUGUAUUUGAACUAUACUAUAUAAACUAAAUACAUCAUUUAUUCAAUGAACUUAAAAAUAAAAAUUUCUCUUAUAUUUAGGACCAUGAGUAUAACUAUUCAUUUAUAAAUUUGGAAAAAUUUAAAACAACCCAAAAACUUUAUAAAAAGACAAAUCAUAUUUAAUGUCAAAAGUUAUUAAAAUAUUUUACAUUAUAGAUAUACUCCCUACGGUCUCGAAUGUGAGAAACAAAACAAAAAAAUUGAUGGUCUCAAAUAUAAGCAAAAAUAUAUAAAAUUCGUUCUAUUAAAUGUUUCUAUUCCAAUCUCACCCUCAUUAACUUUAUUUAAUUUGUUUCAUAUUUCCAUGUUUAACACUUUCUAAAGAUUAUUCAUUGGUUUAGUUCAAAAGUCAUGUUUUCUCGUAAAAUGUUUCUAUCAUUAAUAUCUGAAUGUGUACUACUUGAGAAAUAACUCCAGAACAAGGGGAAAAAAAAUAGAAAAAUGGUAUUUUUUUUUUUAUAAUGACUUAAAUACAGUCAUUCCACUUUCUUCGUAGGUGUGCCUUUUUUUUUCCUUACAUUCAAGAUCGGAAGGAGUACUUGAUAAUUUCUAUAACAAAAAUACUCCCUAAGUUCCUUUUUAAGUGUCACUUUUGGAGAAAUUUUUUGUUCCUAUUUAACUGUCACUUUCAAAGUUCAAUGUAACAUUAAAUGUUGUUUUACCAAUAUUAUCCUUAGUUAUUUAUUGUGGAGAGAGAAAUAUAUGAAAUGAGAUAUUAAAUUAAUAAAGUCAUUAUAGUAAAAGUAUAGCUUAUUGCAUCCAAAGUAGUAUCAAUUAUUGAUUGUCUUGAUUUAUGUAAAAUGUCAAAAUGUGAUAAUUAAAAAGGAACGGAGGUAGUAACAACUAGCAAGAGUGGCAUUUAAAUACAAAAUUGAUAAUUUCCAUAAAUUGAUAUAUUUUAGUAUAAAAGAAAUUGAAAAAAGUACAGAGAUAUUGGCAAAAAUUAAAAAGACAAAUUUUAGUCAAUAGUAAUUAUUGUUUCACUCAAUAAUAAAAUGUUUAAUUCUCUUACAUUGUUGUUUAAAUAUGUUUUAGGUGAUUCCAAACUUGGAGCUGUUGAGGAUGGUACAGGCGGAUGCUGACAUGAUAUUGCAAACCCAAAACUCAAGUUCCCUCUUUUGCAAAAUGACCUAUCUUGGAUUGGCUAGCUAUAACACCGAGGAUGCUAGAUUUCCUUAUUGGNGUGGAAUUGGAAACAGCACAAGAGUGUAUUUGAAAUCAACAUAUAAUAGGCACUUUUUAACAAUUAACGCCCCUUAUAUCAAUCAGUGGUCACAUAAUCCCAAUUUCAUAUCUCAAAGUCUUCGUUAAUCUAACUAGUGAAUAUGGCUAAACGGCAAUCAAAGACAACAUCCAUCGUUCACAUAGCAACCUUGAACAAACAGUGACACGCAACAAUCCAGAACACACUAGCUAGGAGAGAAUUGAAUAUCACGACAUAAUAAACAACAAUACAAACAAAAACCAAGAACACAAAUAAUCACAUACCCAAAUUUGCACAUAAAUUAAGGGCAUAAAAUUCACCAAACAAAAUCAUCAAUUCAUCAAUUCAACAUUUAAAUGUAAGCUAGAUCAAAAGAAAAGUGAUUACGAGAAUAAGUAUCCAACCCCCUUACCUUAAGAAAAUCGAUCGGCAGCUCUCUCUUGGUUCUUCUCUCAUCUUGUUCUCCCUUCUUCCCCAAAACUGGUUGUACGUGAAAAUAAUUCUAAACCUAGUUUCUCCUAUUUAUCUCUUUCCAUCUAUUUUAUCUUAUUUCCACUUUAACCACUAAAUUCCCUAAAUCCUCAAAACAGCCCCACAACUUAAUCUUAUUUCUAUUUUCAAGACUUAUUCUAAUAAAUAAUAAAAUAACAAUACUUAAUAAAUAGCUACACACCACUUAAUCCACAUAAUAAUAUAAAAUCAUAUAUAAAAAGACUUUAAAUCAACCAAUAAUAAAUAAAUAAAAUUGGGGUCCAUAACCGCAACUUUUAAAAAAUGUUACCAAACACACCCAAAGUCGAUUAUAGAGCACUAGCUAGCUACUAACAAUCUAUCCACUAACUACCAACAACUGAUAUUUCUUUUGACUAGACUAAUUUUAAAAGAAAGCAUUAGAGAAAAAUAUUAUUAUCCUUAUUUUUUUUGACCGAAUUAUUAUCCUUAAUUUAAAAAAUGAAUAGAAUUGUUAAAAUGAGUUUUACAUUAAUUAGUGUGUAAAAAACUAUUUUGUAAAUGCAUUCUAUUUUACUGCUAUGUUUGUGGAACUAACUCGCAAUACAAUUGUUUUCACAGGUGGGAUUUGGUAGUUUCAAGCAUUUAAAACUAUCUGAAUAUCCCGAGUUAAAAGAGUUGUGGUAUGGUCGACUUGAGCAUAAAGCAUUUAGGAGUUUGAAACAUCUAGUGGUUCAAAAAUGUGAUUUUUUAUCAGAUGUUCUCUUUCAACCUAACUUGCUAGAAGUGCUGAUGAACCUGGAAGAAUUAGAUGUGGAGGAUUGUAAUUCAUUAGAAGCUGUUUUUGAUUUGAAAGAUGAAUUUGCCAAAGAAAUUGCGGUGCAGAGUUCUUCUCAACUGAAGAAAUUAAAACUAUCUAAUCUUCCAAAACUGAAGCAUGUAUGGAAAGAGGAUCCACAUUACACUAUGCGGUUUCAAAAUUUAAGUGAUGUAUCUGUGGUGGGAUGCAAAAACUUGAUAAACCUCUUUCCACUCUCAGUGGUUAAAGGUAUGUUGCAACUUCAAAGUCUUCGAGUAAGUAAAUGUGGCAUCCAAGAAAUUGUUGCCAAGGAAGAUGGAACAGAAGAGAUAGUUAAAUUUGUGUUUCCACAAUUAACAUCCAUUAUACUUGAACAUUUGCCAAAACUUAAGGCAUUCUUUGUUGGGGUCCAUUCUCUUCAAUGUAAAUCAUUGAAAAAGAUCGAUUUGUUUGGAUGUCCAAAAACUAAGCUAUUUCAGGCGGAGCCUUUGAGACACCAAGAAAGCUCAAGAAUUGAUGAGCUCAAUAUCCCUGAAUAUCAACCUCUUUUUGUGAUUGAAGAGGUAAGUGCAGCGUUAAAUAUCAUCCUUGCAUUGAACAUACAUGUACAAAUUUGAACUGUUUUUCAUUGUUUUGUUAAUUUGAAGAUAAAUUAUUCAACAUGUCUAUUGCAACAGGUACUUGCCAAUGUGGAGAGUUUGUCUUUGAACAAAAAAGUUUUUGGCAUGAUAUUGCAGAGCCAAUAUUCUGGGGUUCAGUUCAACAAUGUCAAACACAUUACCGUGUGCGAAUUCUACAAUGAGGAAGCUACUUUUCCAUAUUGGUUCUUGAAAAAUGUUCCUAAUUCCGAAAGCUUGUUAGUCCUAUGGAGUUCCUUCAUGGAGAUAUUCCAAGGCGAACAAAUCAUAAGAACGGAAAAGGAACCUGAAAUUAGCCUACGACUCAGAUAUUUGGCUUUAGUGCAGCUGCAUAAGCUUAAAUGUAUAUGCAAAGAAGGAUUUCAGAUAAACCCCGUUCUACAGAUGCUUGAAAGUAUAAUUGUGUAUCAGUGUUCUAGUCUGAUAAUGUUAGUUCCAUCCUCUGUUACCUUUAGUUAUUUGACCUAUUUGGAGGUAACAAACUGCAAUGGGUUGAAAAAUUUGAUAACACACUCAACAGCAAAGAGUCUUGUCAAACUCACAACAAUGAAGAUUAAAAUGUGUAAUUGGCUUGAGGAUAUAGUGAACAGUAAAGAAGAUGAGACAAACGAGAUUGUAUUUUGCAGUUUACAAACUCUAGAACUAAUUUCUUUACAAAGACUCGGUCGAUUCUGCUCAUGCCCAUGCCCCAUUAUGUUUCCGUUGCUGGAAGUUGUAGUCAUCAAAGAAUGUCCUCGAAUGGAACUUUUUUCAUUGGGAGUUACCAACACAACAAAUCUUCAAAAUGUACAAUCUGAUGAAGGAAAUCAUUGGGAGGGUGACCUCAACAGAACCAUAAAGAAAAUGUUUUGUGAUAAGGUAUAUUUUAUUAUCAUCCAUCAAUUUAUUUACUUUGUGUAAGUUUAAGAAAAUCUAUCUAGAUCAAUUUUGUAUUGUAGUAGACUAGAAUAUUAAUGCAUACUUAAAGAUUUCUUAAAAGCAAUUUUGAUUUGUCUUUUGAUUUAUUUAUUUGAAUGAUCAGGUUGCAUUUGGUGAAUUCAAGUACUUAGCCUUAUCUGACUAUCCUGAGCUAAAGGAUGUGUGGUAUGGCCAACUUCAUUGCAAUGUGUUCUGCAAUUUGAAACAUCUUGUCGUGGAAAGGUGUGAUUUUUUAUCACAUGUACUUUUUCCAUCAAAUGUAAUGCAAGUGCUACAGACAUUGGAAGAACUAGAAGUAAAAGAUUGUGAUUCAUUAGAAGCAGUGUUUGAUGUGAAAGGUAUGAAGUCACAAGAAAUAUUGAUAAAAGAAAUCACUCAAUUGAAAAGAUUGAGUUUGUCUACUUUACCCAAAUUGAAGCACAUAUGGAAUGAGGAUCCUCAUGAAAUUAUCAGCUUUGGAAACUUACACAAGGUGGAUGUUUCUAUGUGUCAAAGCUUGUUAUAUGUCUUUCCAUAUUCACUAUGCCCAGAUCUUGGACAUCUUGAAAUGCUUGAGAUAAGUUCUUGCAGAGUCAAGGAAAUUGUUGCAAUGGAAGAAACUGUAACAAUGGAAAUUCAAUUUAAUUUCCCCCAAUUGAAAAUCAUGGCACUGCGUCGUUUGUCAAAUCUCAAGAGUUUCUAUCAAGGAAAACAUACUUUAGAUUGCCCUUUAUUAAAGACUUUUAAUGUAUAUCGUUGUGAAGCAUUAAGAAUGUUUUCUUUCAGCAAUUCAUACUUUCAACAACCUUACUCGGUUGAUGAAAAUCAGGCCAUGCUAUUCCAACAACCCCUGUUUUGUAUUGAAAAGGUAAAUUCUGCCAUACCUUGUUUUUCUUUAUUUGUAUGUGUAAUAAUACGCUAGUAUUUAUUUACAUUUUGGAUGUUUAUUUUUCAGUUGAGUCCCAACUUGGAGGAAUUGGCAGUAAAUGGCGCAGAUAUGUUGGGGAUAUUGAAUGGUUAUUGUCAAGAAAAUAUUUUUCAUAAAGUCAAAUAUCUUCGUUUGCAAUGCUUCGAUGAAACUCCAACUAUUCUUCUGGAUGAUUUCCAUACAAUAUUUCCUAAUUUUGAAACAUUUCAAGUGCGUAAUAGUUCUUUUGAAACAUUGUUCCCCACUAAAGGAACCACAAGUUAUCUUAGUUUGCAAAUGUCAAAUCAAAUAAGAAAGUUGUUUUUUUUUGAAAUGGAAAAGCUAGAACACAUUUGGCAGGAAGACUUUCCACUGAAUCAUCCUCUGUUCCAAUAUCUUGAAGAUUUACGUGUACUGAAUUGUCCAAGUUUGAUAAGCUUGGUAUUAUCUUCGACAUCUUUCACAAAUUUAACCUAUUUGAAAGUGGACAACUGCAAAGAGCUCAUCUAUUUGAUACCAUAUUCAACAGCUAAAAGCCUAGUUCAACUCAAAACAUUAAUAAUAAUGAAUUGUGAGAAGAUGUUAGAUGUUGUGAAGAUUGAUGAAGAAAAAGCAGAGGAAAACAUCGUAUUUGAAAACUUGGAAUACUUGGAAUUUACUUCAUUGUCAAGUUUGAGAAGCUUCUGUUGUGGUAAACAAGCAUUCAUAUUCCCAUCUUUGCUCAGUUUCAUCGUUAAAGGAUGCCCUCAAAUGAAGAUCUUCUCAUCUGCACUCACAGUAGCACCAUGCCUCACAAAAAUUAACGUGGGAGAAAAAAAUAUGCGAUGGAAAGGUGAUCUUAACAUAACGAUUGAACAAAUGUUCAAAGAAAAGGUACACAAUAUUUAUGAAAGUUGUUUACUUUAUUAUUCUCAUAAUUAAACAAGGCUCACAAUAUUUAUUUGGUGCAUGUUUGUACGGUGACUUUGAAAUUAAUUAUGGAUUUACUACAAAGUUCCAAGUUCUUGAAAAGAAAAUUUAAAUAGCUUAUAUAUAUCCUAUUAUUUUCAUUCAUUUACUUAGUUUUUUGGUUCAUUCUAUUUUAUUUUCCUUAUACUUGAAAGUUUAGCACUAUAACAUAGUUUGAGAUAUCCAAAUUCAAUUAUCUAAUUUGCUAAAAAAAGUUAUAGUGAGAAAGUCUAAUCAAACUAUAUAAACUGUCUAAUCAUUUUAUAAAAUAUGUUUCAUACUUUAUUUAAAAAUAUAUAGUUUUAUUUGUGAAAAAUCAAACUAUAUAUAAACUGUCUAAUCAUUUUAUAAAAUAUGUUUCAUACUUUAUUUAAAAAUAUAUAGUUUUAUUUGUGAAAAAUCAAACUAUAUAUAAACUGUCUAAUCAUUUUAUAAAAUAUGUUUCAUACUUUAUUUAAAAAUAUAUAGUUUUAUUUGUGAAAAAUCAAACUAUAUAAAUUGAUCUAGUCAUUUUAUGUACUUCGAAAUUAAAAGAGUGAAUAAUGAAUUUCUUGAGCAAACGUUACCAAAUAGUUAGGGGUUGAUACUUGAUAUACUUGUUAAUUAAUUAAUGUUAAUUUUAACAGGAAGUCUCGCAUUCUAAUUAAUAUGUUGAAUGAGACCAUCAUCUAUCCUCACAUUUGCAAGGUACCAAAUACUAAAUUCUUCUCUUUUCAAACAUUUUAUUUUUUCAUUAGGAAAUUAUUGUCUUUCAUUGUGGAGUGUUUUGUUCAUCCUUGACUGAAAUUUUUGGAAUACAUUUUGUUUUUUAUUAAGGUUGAAAUAUAUUUUUUUGUUUGAUUUAAGUUUACCAAAUUUAUUCUUAAAAAUAACAUUCACUAGAAUAUAAAGAUGUGAAUUUUAUUUCAAGUAUUUAGAAAAAAGGUGUUUCGUGAACACUAUAAUAUUCCCCGGAACCUUAAGAAUAGGGAUUAUAAUAAAUAGUUACACCUGAUUUAUUCUCAUCUUUCUGGAAACUUUAUUUCCACCCUUUUCUUUGGGAAAUUUUUUCUAUUCCCAAGAACAUUUUAUACUCGUGAAUAAAAUUUAGUAAACUUGUAACAAACACAGACAUGUAUAUUUCUAUCAUUGUAUCCCAAAAAUCUACAAAUAUAAUUAGAAACAAACACACCCUAGUCCUUAUAAAUUUACUUUUUUUUAUUUUUAUUUUAAUCUCUAUAAAAAGUAGUUUUUAUUUGUCUCCGUGAGUUUAACUGAUCAGUUGGUAGGGAUAUAACAUAAAUAUAAGCCAGAUUUCAAACUCCUAACACCCCACUUAUUUACAUAGGUGAAUUUGCCACUAUACUACUUAACCAAAAAAUAAAAAAAUAUCUUUUGUUUAUUUAAUUUUUAGUCCUUCGAAUUUUUUUUUUCUUUUUAUCCAACUUUUUUUUUGUUUUGAUACUUGCAAAAUACGAUCUUUUUGAAAUCAUUUGUAAUACUCAUUUUAGUCUUUAUUUUGAGGGUUAAAAUCAAAUAUAUGACAUAUUAUGAGGACUAAUUUUAAUAUAAUAAAUUUUGUAAGAAGUAAAAUAAAACAACUAGAAUCAGAAGAAAAGGAGGGAUAUCUGCAAGGACUAAUAAUUUUUUAUUUUUUUAAAAAGGAAAAUUACAGAGACUUAUAUCUAAAAUGUAGAUAUUUUUGAGGACCGUUUUCUUUUUUAAAUCUAUUAUUAAUAAAAUUAAUUAUAUGUUUUCUUGACGAAAAAAUUAAAUAUAAGUUAAUCCAUUUGACCUUGUUGCUUUAGAUAAAUUAGUUUUGUUUUCCUGUAAAAAAUAAGCUUCACUCUUUUUUAAAACAAAAACUAAUAUUAAUAAGCACAGCUCAACAUAAAAUAUGCUAAGAUAUACCCUUCAUAUUGGGAUGGAGAAAAAGUUGGUAUUUAUGAAUAUCUGCGAUGGAUAUGGGACAGAUAGUUUAACAAGUAUCAACAGACUGCAGAUAAAAUAAAAUGAUAUUUUAAUUACCCAUUAGUGUAUUUACCCGGCGUUGCCCGGGUUACAUAUAUUCAAGAAGAUAAAAAACUUAUAUGUAUGAUAUCUACAAAUAAAAUUUAUCACGGAUUGGUAUAUGAUGAAUAUCUUAAUAAAUAAAUACACACAAAUAUGAUAAAAUAUAUCAUAUUAUAAAUACUCGUAAAUUUAUAGAUGCACAUACAGAUAAAAUUAAUUGGAUUUAGUAAAAAUACUAACAAAUAUAGAAUAAAAUUAACUUUUAGGAAUUUGUGUUAUUUCUGUUAAGAUAUUUCUGUUACAUAAAAUAUUAGGAAUUCAAUGAAAAAGUUAAGUAAAAUAUUAAAUAGAUAAGAUCAAAAGUUUGUUGAAAUAUUUAUUCCAAUUCAAAUAUUGCGUUAAAAAAACCUUACUUUAUAUAUAUACUAUUGAUUGAUUGAUUGAUUGAUUGAUUGAUGAUUUAUAGUCGAAGGGUAUCGUAUGUAAUCUAUUGAGAUAUUUCUGUUACAUAAAAUAUUAGGAAUUCAAUGAAAAAGUUAAGUAAAAUAUUUAAUAGAUAAGAUAAAAAGUUUGUUGAGAUAUUUAUGCCAGAUUAAAUAUUGGUUUUAAAAAAUAGACUAAUAAUAAAAAUAUUGCGAAUAAAUGUGGAAGUGAUACGUGGCAUAAAAACCUUAAUUUAUAUAUACACUAUUGAUUAGUUAGUUGAUACAAAUGAAAAUAUAAUGGUAUCUAAGGUAGCCAAACAUGACAACAUAACAUACAACCACUACUAAAAAGUAAUAUUAGUUAUGGAAAAAAUAUAAUUUCUCACAAAUUCUUUGGUCGCAAAAUUUAGUGACGGAAUUAGAGAGGGAUUUCACGUUUUCCCUCUCUAAAAUUCCCUCACUAAUUUUUGCUUUUUUAGCAGUGAACCAAAGUUGACACACAUGGAACAUAUUGUGGCCAUUAGUGUAGAAUGGUGUGGGAAUGCAACCUAAGCAUCAACUUCUUGUCUUUUCUUGAUGAUCAAAAAGGGGCACAACCCCUAUAGUGGAGUCUUAUCUUGCAUUUGCUCUUAUAGACAACUUUAUAUUGUGUCAUCCCAAUCUAGAAUGAACACAUUUUAGUAUGUGAACUCUAUGAGGGGAAAGAACUUACCCAACUGCCAUCUUCCUCCAAGGUGUAACUUGCAUAAGUGUUCGCUCGUUCUUCUAGAGAUUGAAUUUUUGUAAGUAUGGCAACCUUUUUAUGUUCCUACAAACACAACCACGUGAUAAAAAGUGAAAUAACACAAUCAUUGUUAUGAUCGACCAUGUCGAUAAAAGAAUAAUAACAACAAUGCUCUCAUAUAGAUCCACUCGAGUCACUAAAUGAGCAUUAUUAGGGCUUGAGUCACCCUAUACAUAUUAUUGUUGCUAUUUUACUCUUAACUCUUCCCAAUAUAGACUGAAUCUUUCCCCACCCGAAUUCCAAGUGUUUGGCUAUAAGUCAAGCAAGCUUCUCUUUCCAUCUGAGAGUAUCUAUUGCAGUCAAGAAGUAAUUACACAUCUAUAGAAACUUCUAAAACUUCGUUGAUAGCUCUGGAAAUAUCCAUGCUUACAUCUUUAAGACCUAUAUUUUAUCUCAAGUCCAAUAAGAGUAUAAAUUAGUUGAUGGAUAAUACUAAGCCUUAUAUGACAAUAUAAUGAGAUAUAGUAUAGAUAGUAAGGGUAAAAACCCUCAUUAAGAAUUUGAAUUUUAAACGAGCAUUACAACGACUUAUUUAAUGACUAAUUAAAGUUGAAAACAAUAAAUGGACAUAAUAAUAUGGUUAAGAUAAGGGCGAGAAUUGUUUGAUUAAGUCAUUAUAAUAGUGAAUGUGACAAAUGGCAAGUAUGAUUCCCACGUUGUUCAGAGUUGGCCAACUAACAAACUGUAUUUAGUCUUUUAAUGAGUUAAUUGUGAUAUUUGUUAAAUUAGGAAUUAAAAUAAGGAAUUAGACCCAUUAAUAGGUUGUUGCGUUUAUAGUUGAAUUAUGCAUUGACAUGAAUGAUAGAUGUUGUAUAAUUUCCUAUAUGUGAACAUUGCUGCUAAGUGUUGUUUUGAACUUGAAUAGUACUAUUGUGAUAUGUGGGUAAAAUAUUUGAUAAUAGUGCAAUGUGAGAGUGAAUAAUGUAAAUGUGUGUUGUAAAUAUGUGUUGUAAAUAAGAAGUAUUUUGUUGAAAUAUGCAUUGUGUACUAUAUGUGAAUUGAGAUAACCCGUCUCUAACUAAUGAUGGUGCUAUAUUUGCGGAGUGACUUGGGCUAACAAGGGGGGAGAGGUGUGUCGUAUGGUCAAAUACUCAAUAAAGUGUUGGUUAUAUUGUAAUCAUAUAGGUAGGGUUUGACAAACUUAAGUGUUAGGGAACAUAUACUAGUGGUGCCUAAUAGUUAGGGCAUACUUGUUAGAUCAUAUGACUACAAUGAAGGAAAUUUUCCUAAGUUGUUUAGUGGGUAAAUCCCUAAUUUAGGAGCUUACGUGCAACCACUGUGGAUUUUUGCGUGUCGCGUAAAUGAAUUUUGGGUCGAGUUGAGCAAGUAUAUGAGGACUUGAAUGUGAUUGUCUCUUACAAGAGCAUACUGCCACGUUCCUUGCCAUUUUUUUUGUAGUUAGAUGGUACCAAGUGAAAUCGAAGUGUUACAGGAUUUGUGCAUGCAUGUGUCAUGUGAUUAAAUGUGUGCUCAUAUGAUCAAUGAUGUGUCCCUCGGAAGAAAACUUAUGCAUUGUGAAAUAGUUGAAUUAAUUUAUUUGUGUUUGUCUAAUUUAUUAGUAUACUUUAUGAAACUUGAUUACUCACCCAUUUUGUGUAUUUGUGUUUGGUGAUUGCGAUGAUGCACAGACGCAAGAAACAUGUGAGAAGUAGUGCCAAGGAGCUAUUUAUAUUGGCGUUUGAAAGACUUUCUUUAUUUUCUAUUUAUGCUGUUAUUUGAUUGGCUUGCAUAUCAAGUACCUUCUAUUGUAAUUUUACUCUCAUUGCUCUGGUGGGUAGCGUCGAAGGAUUCUUUUACUUUGUUACAUAUUUGUUAAUUGUCAUAUUCAAACAUGACAUUUUAGGUGGUGUUUCUGCGUGUUUGAUGGAUAUCACUCUUUUUAUUUCAAAAAACCGAACAUUUCUAUUUGGACAAAUGGUAUGUAUGCAUGCUAUGUCCUAAGCCUAUGUGCUAGUGUUUUGUGAAACUUUAUUAAAAGUUUCUAUUGGAAAUAUUGAAACUAUAUAAUUCAUAACAAUCAAAGACAAUCAUCUUCUCAUGUUUUGGCAAAGCUUAGCGACUUUUAUUUAUUUAUAGAAUUCUAUCACUCAUGACAUAAUUUCUUAGACAUAUUGCUUAGCUAUUUUAAUUUCUGAGCUUAUAAUUACCUUCCAUAAUUUCUGAGCUUAUAAUUUCUGAAAAUUCAAAGCUUAUGCAUAAUUCCUGAAAUUUGUUUUCAGUUCUUUUCAGUAGCACAAGAAUUCUUAGACAUAUUGUUUGGGUUUGUAGCCUCUGGAAUUAUAUAAUCCAAAAGUCACCUUUUCGUGUUUUGGCAAGCUUAGUAACAAUUUCUUAAAAAUUUCACACAUUCUUCAUCUGCCCAAUUGAUACCUUUAAUUGAAGGAUAUUCAGAUAUAAUUUGUUUCAAAGCAUUCCUCUUAAAUCAACAGUGUUGAAACGCCCUUAAAUCUUUUAUAUAGUGUACCCUUUUCAUUUCCAAUGGACUAGAAUGGGCCAUUGCUUCGUUAAAUAUAUAUUAUAUAAUAUAAGAUAAGCAGGUCCUUUAUGAACUUUUUGAAAAUGGUCAUUGUUAUUAAUUUAAAUGAACGGAAAGGCAAUUUUAAUAUGCAAUUAAUUUUAUCAUUAUUGUUGAGUAUGAAUUAAAAUCUGAUCAUUUACAAAAGAGACGAUUUUGGUAAAGCUGUUUUUGGUUGGCAUCUGCCUUAAGGGUGAGGCACAUGGGUUUGUUUCUGUAUUUUGCGCGAGGCACACACCCUAGUGCACAAUGCAUAUGCCAUGUGUGCGAGGCACGUCAAGCAAUGUCUACUUUUGUGUGAGGACGUCUACUUUUGUGUCAAUGUCGUGUCUGACACUGAUGCGUGUUCGACGUCGGGACACAACUAAUUUGAAGGAUGUACGUGCUUCAUUGAUCAUGCACAAUAUUUAUAUAAAUUAAAUGGAUCUUAUUUAAAUAAAUUGAAACAUCUAAAUUCGAAAGAUAAGAAUUUGAAUGGUUUUUCACAAUCAAACGGAUUUGGAUCCUUGUCGUCGGGAUGUUUUGCAUUUAGAUAUUCAUGGUCAUUCAAUCAAGAAUGAACGGUCAAGAUUCAAUCUUCAUUUUUACGAGCCAUCUAAUUUUGAUGCAACAACAACUGAUGUCCCGAAUGCAUGAAUUCAAAAAAUCCAAAAGGAGCUCUUUUUAAAUUGUAAAGUGUAGUUUUCUCUUUUCACUUUGUGACAGUAUGGUUAACAUAUUACAGAAAAAGCAUCGAAAAGUGGUUAACAAAAGCCAAAAUUUGUUUGUGUCCGGUAACAAAACAAUCAAAUGAAGCCAAAGUGGUUGAUCAUCAAAUUCAGUCUCCAAAAUCUCCUCUCAAUAGAAUCCAUCUCCAAAAACUUGUCAAGAACCUAGAGCUUCCUAAUUGAUUUCAAGCAUCAAUGGAGAAGAUUCUUGAAGUUGCUAAACAGACCGAGAGAAACAGAACAUGCAUGGUUAAAGUAGGUGUAACCAAAACUAUGAUUAUGGUCAUUAAAAAGAAAUUCAAACAAGGAAACACCAUUGGUUUGGAAGAAGCUUUGAAAAUUACUCGUCUUUUGUGGAAUGAAGCAACGAUCAACAAUAGUGUGAAACUUUUGGUUGGCAAAAACAUGGAUUUCAUGAAUUUGUUGACUUGGAUUUUGAAAAUUUACAUUGAUAACAACAACUUCGAGAUGGUAAAUGAAGUUAUGCCAGUAUUGAAGUUGACAAUUGAUGUUGUAGAUUCAAACCUUUUAAGAAAUUUAAACAUUGAAUUCUUCAUAACUUUCUCCAAACAAGCUAUUAAAUCAGUGUUACAUGUGCUUAUAGAGACAUGCCCGUUUGGGUGGAAGCCGAACGAGGAUCAUGGAAGCGGACGGAGUAACCAAACUCAUUGAAACUUAUCUAGCAUGGACUUUCACUAAGUAUGGACUUUCUGUAACGCUCUCUUUAAUUAUUUAAUUAUUUUAUAGAGUUUAGAGUUUACUUUGAUGAUUUAUGCGAUUUUAAUAUAAUUAUGUGUUUAGUUGUUAUUUUAUUUAAAGGCUUAUUUUAUUAUUUACUAGAAUAAGAUUUGAAAUUAAAUAAAUAUAGAGAUGUGGGGCUGUUUUGGAAUUUAGAAGAGUUUAGUGGAAAUAGAGGAAAUAAGAUAAAGUAGAUUGAGGAGAGAUAUAAAGAGGAAACUAGGUUUAGAAAAGUUUUCACGUAAAAACAGUUUUUGGGAGAAAAACCAAGAAAAAGCUAGGAGAAGAGCCAAGAGGGGAGAAUCUGAUUUUUGUAGAGCUUUGUUCAUCAAUUCAAGGUAAGGAUGAGGCUAACAUUCAGUAAUCAUAGUGUAUAAUUCUGAAUUUGUGAUUUAACAUAUUGUUGUUCUUAGGUUGGAUAAUUGGGAUUUAUGUUUUGAUUAUUGAUUUUUGAAUUGAAAAGUGUAGAAACCAUCGAAAUUGUGAUAAAGGAUGUUUAGAUUGUAGAUUAAUUAUAGUCUAAUGUUCCAAUCAGUUUUGGGGUUGGGUUAAUGGAAAUUGGGAUUUUCCCUUGAAAAGUCGGUGUCUAAACGUUUGCAAAUAAGCGAUUAUGUGAGGUUUUGGAAAUCGAUUUUUGGGUGGUUGAAACUUGAAUUUUUCUGUAGAUUAUGAUAAGGCUAAGUGUCAGGAGCGUGUAGGCGAAAACGACAUCGAAAAUGGGUUAACGGUUUGGAUUUUACGCGCGAAAACGUGAAAGUUAGAAAAUCUGAUGUUGUCUGUCGAGCAGAAAUCGGGCUACGAUUUUAGAAAUUGGGCUACGAUUUUGACCAUAUUUUGGGGUGUUUCAGCACGAAAAAAAUCGUACUACGAUGGGGAAAAAUCGGGCUACGAUUUUGCCUGACCAGGAACUUUUAAAAUGCAAUUUUCUUCACUCCAAUUGCUUCCAAACUUCUUCCUAAGUGUAGGGACUUUAUCCUAACCAUCUAGAGAUGUUUUUAGGAAAGAAAUAACGUUGUAUAAAGCGUCCAAUGAGUUCAUGAGUUGGUCCUUGGGGUAGGAAUGGAAGUUGUUUAUAAAAGUAUAGCCUUUCAGUGAAUCUAAGCUAAUUAAUAUAAUUGAUGUUGUUGGUUAAUUCAAGCUAUAUAUAUUAUGUGGAAAAUGUAUGAUAUAGAAAAUGUCGUUGUUUAUAUCAUUCAAGUUGUUGUUAUUAAUAUUGCUAUGUUGCAAGUUGCUUAUGUUGCUGUUGCUGCUGUUGUUGAUUAUUAAUAUCAUUGAGUUGACCAAGUUGUGGAGUAAGUCAUAAUUAUUUAUGCACAGUUGUUGUUGUCGUUGUCUACGUUGUCGUUGAGGUUGCUGAGUUGUAGUUUGAUAUACACAAAUGUGAGUCCAUUGCAUACUCAUUUAAGUUGAGGGCUUGAUGCCCUGUAAUGUAUAUUUAUACAUAUUAUGUUGAGGGCUUGACGCCCUGUAAGUUGAGGGCUUGAUGCCCUGUGAUUCUAUUUACGCUCAAUACGUUGGGGGCUUGAUGCCCUGGUUGGUGCCACAUGCAUGUAGUCGUUGUUGUUGUUGAUUAAGUUGUUGUUGUUGUUGUUGUUGUUGAGAGAGUUGUUGUCGUUGAUGAUUAAGUUGUUGUCGUUGUUGUUAAAUGAGUUGUUGUCGUUGUUGUUUUCGUUGAGUGAGUUGUCGCUGUUGUUGAGUGAGUUGUUGUCGUUGUUGUAAAAUCUUGUUGUUGUCGUCGUUGUUGGUUGAAUUAGUAAGUGUUACUAAAGUUAAAGAAGUAGGAACAUUAUUAUGAUGAUUUGUUGUUGUUUACAUUAUUAUAAGAUGAUGAUUAUGUUGUUAUAUGAUGAAUGUACAUUAUGUGAUGAAUAUGAUAUUAAUGUUGACUAGAAGUUGAUUGAUGAUUUAAUUAAGUACUAUACGAAGGAUUAUUAUUACUAAUUGAUGGAGUUUAAGUUGUUAGAUGCAUUUGAUGAAUUAUAUGCUUAAUAUUAUUGUUUAUGAAUCUCACCCCUUCUGCUUGGAAAUGUUGCCCUUCGUAUGGGUAACUUGCAGGUGAUCCAGAGUAGUUGCUGUUAUUUGCUGUUGUGAGUGGACUUUCCUCACAUGUGUCUUAGGGCUCUGAUACGUAACAGGAUGGGGAAACUUUGUCGUUGUAUUUUCAUCAUUCCUUAUGUAUCAUUAUGAACCUUUUGUUGGAUUAGAUCUUUAAGGAUAUUUAUGUUUAGGCCAUGUGCCAGAAUUUAUUGGAAGUUGUUUUAAUGUUGAAAAUAAUCCGCUACAAUGAAUUAUUAUGUUUUACCGAAGACUAUUACUUAAUAAAUAGUAUUUUAUUCUAUUUAUGGAUUUUUGAAAAGUAGUGUGACAUUCCGUUUGUUGAUUACUCUGAUUAUUUAAAUGAAAUUUUGAUGUUGGGAAAACGGGGUGUUACACUUUCUCUGUUAGAAACUUAUCUAGUUGGCUAAUUGAGUCUUCAGGUUAUUGGAUUAAAGGCCUAAUGAAUCACCAUUCUAUUGUUUCAUAUUAUUGGCACCAAAAUUUGGUUCCCUUAACUAGUUUACAUAUCUAUUUGAAAAAGAUAACUAAACUUUAAUUGUCAAAAAUUCUUACCUUAAGUGUAUCUGAGAAGAAUAUAUAUGGCAUUAUUGCUUCCACUUAUAUGACAGUCUUGGAGAUUCUUGAAGUCAGUUGGCUAUAUCUACAGCUUUGAACCUGUCUACUUGAUCUGUAUGAAGACAGAUGUUUACAAUUUCUCCAUAAUCUUUGAUACAAUUUUCCUUAAAAAAAUUCAACAGAGUAAAAUUGUAUAGAAAAUGUUGACAAGCAUCUACACGGCAUGCGUAUAAAUAUCAGCUCAAUCCACAUUGUAAGCCAAGUUUCAAACAUAUAUUGUCUCCGAUGCAUACAACACUUCGUUUUUUCAGAGCACCUUAGAAAAACAAAACUCAUUAACAAAUAAUUUCACUAAUUUGCAUCAAGAGAAUAAAAAUAAGAAUCUAAAAUAGAUGCACAUUGAUCGUAAGAAUGAAAACGAGGUUCAAUUUAAUCAAUGACACAUUAACAGAUAAAACAAAAGAGAACAUUGCCACAAUCAUUACACAAACAAACACAAACACCUAAUCAAGAUAAAAACUUUUUCACAUAAAAAGUACACCCCAUGAAAUUGAACAAAGCAAAGAUGUUAAAUCUACAAUCAAAAAUAAAAAGCCAACUGUAAAAACAGAAAAACUGAAACAUAAAAAGCCAACUAUUCAAAGCCAGAUGAUAAACGUAAGUUGAUUGGUUAGGAUCCAAUAUUUGCUAAAAACUUGUAACAGUAAUUUUACAUAAAUAAUAAACAAGCAAUUUCUGAAAUGCAAACUAUCUUCACUGACCAGCAAUCAAUGUCUCAUGUAUAGCUACAUUUGGAGCCUACGACCGAACUUUCAUAAUCCUUAAAUACUUCUCCGCAUCUUCAACCUUUCCAAAACGGAAGAAACACUGAAUCAUAGACGAAUAAACAGCAAAUCCAGGACACAGACUUAUACUGUAUUUCAUAAUAUAUCUUAAGAACUCCUUGAACUUUGUCCUUUCUCGCGUAACCAUCUAUCAAAUGUGAAUAAGUAAGAAUUACUCGUUAAAAAUCCUUUAUCUAACAACACAGGCAACAUAUCAUUUACCUUCUCCACUUCUCCAUUCUCACAAAGCUUCUCAGCCACCUUACCAAACAACAAAUAACCAAGAACAGACCCAGCAAUCAGCAUAUCUUUGAAAACACUCCAACACUCUUCCAACCGCCCCGAAUCCGCGUAUCCAACGAUAACACAUUCAUAAGUCUCACAAUAAGCCCUUAACCCCGUCUGCUUCUUCAAUUCGUCCCGUCUCACAAAACGCUCGUAUAAACGAGCUGUAAACAAACGAAUUCUCACUAAAACCUGUUUUCACCAUCUCAUUAUACAUCGCCAAAGCAAAAUCCAGAUCCCCUAACCUAACUUUAACAUGAACAAUCAAUGAAUAAGCAACAGAAUCACCAAUCAAAUUCUUCUGCAAUAAUCUCUUCAACAAUGUAACUAACUUAAAUAACUUCCCUUCUUCUCCCACCUUUUCCGACAUUCUCAAAAUCAAACUCAAAUUAACAAUAACCGAAUUCGAAUGUGAAUUUCACUUUCCAACAAUCUGAUCCAAAGCAGCACCAUUCCUUUGUAAUAACCCUUCUUUACAUCAAUCAUAAUCCUGAAAGUAGCAACAUUAGGGUAAACUCUUUUCUCAAUCAUGUAACCAUAAACCUCCCAAACAGUAUCAAAUUGAUUACAAAUCUGUGUAACAUGAAGCAAAGCAUUGAAACUCGAUAAACUGAAGGACAACGAAAGAAGCGUCAAUUAAUCUCGCUUUUGCAUAUGUUUAAAUUAACAGAUCGAGAACCAGAGGGUUCGAGAACUAGAGACAAUAAACUGACAAUUUUUAACUUGUAGUCUGUAGUUUUCUCUUUCCACUUUGUAAACAAAUGUUUUGCUACAAAAGGAGUAAUUUUUGUGCAAGGACAUCACUUCUUUUUCAAACACAUGCAAACACAAAUCCAUUAUAUGAUUUCUUUAGCUACAUUCUAUUUACUAAAAAUCGAUUGUUCAGACACUAUGCGAGGGUGUUGGUGGAUUUGGACCUUUCUAAGGACAUAUUCUAUGAGGUUAUGGUCGAAAGGGAGGGUUUUGUGUUUCCGAUAUCAAUUGAAUAUGAAGGACUGCCAGAAUGUUGUACCCAUUGCAAGAGCAUUGGUCAUAUUGUCACAUCUUGUCGAUGGUUGCAUCCAAGGGCAGCGAACAAUAAUGAGCAACUAGUAGAUAAGGGUAAGAAAUCGGUGCACUCACAAAAACAGAAGCAAGGAUGGAAGCCAUGGGAUAACACUGAAGGUGUUGGUUCCUCUAAGGCUUUUGAAAUUACGGCGUCCCGUUCUAAACAUGACACACACGUAGAGGUUGCCUCAAUUCAACACGAGAAUGUGGAGGUCGUUAGGACUCCGACCCAGCAGUCAAUGUCGCAAGAGGAGGUUGUUCCUAUAACUGCAAAUGCGACACAGUUAGAAAGACAACUUGUUGUGUUUUCUCCAAACCAUGGUGUGACGUCCAGUACUACCUUUCACAUGUCUCUGCAGAAUGUUCUGAUGAAAUUGCCAGACCCGCGCUUUCGAAUAAUGAUGUGCAACCAGUUCUCUCUUUGGUCUCGAAUUUUCCAAAUGUCCUCAAAAUCAUGGCUGGUCCGGUGGAUCUGGUGUUACAAAAUAAAAUGGAUUCCGUGCUAGAUUUACUAUUGGAAAGUGCCUCAACUGAAGUGACAUCCACCCCUUAUUUAACAAAGGUGCAAAAGACUGCAGCAACUAAGAAACAUACACCAAGGCCUGUGUUGGAAUUGGUGUUCGAGGUAGCGCACGAUAACGUGCAUUUUCAUGGAGUGGAGCAAUUGAAAUUGGAAUCUCAAGACGAGACUGCUCAGGAGAUUUCGCUUGUGGCUGUUCUGCACCCGUCUUUUGUAGAGCAUGAUGACGUGCAUGACAUUUGUGAUGCUGAUAUUGUCGUUACGGAUAAGGAGCGAAGUCCAUCACCACUUCCCCAGUUGAUUGAUACCCAAACAACGGUGCAAAUCGACAACUCAAAAGUGCAAACCGCAACAACAUCUGUCCAUGAUGAUACAGAGGUGCAGAUUGAGAAGGACCAACAUAUUCAGCCAGUUUAGAUUAGUUCAACACUUGGUCAAUAUCAAGAGAUUCACAGUAACAAGAACAUCAAGCAUGAUUUGGAAUUAUGGGCAAAAAUUCAAGAAUAUGAUCAAAGGACAGCUGACGAGGGAUUUACACAAGCCUUAACCAAGAAACAGAAGCAAACAGUAAAAAAAAUCUAAUCUUGGGAAAGCCGCCUUAUAGAACAGGUGCAAGGGUGAUCCUCCUCCAUCUGUCCAAUGAAUUUAUUAUAUUGGAAUGUCAAAAGUAUUGACAAUUCAUAUACAAGAAUUGCGUUAUUUUUUUUUGUCACAUAAGCAAACAGUAAAAUAUAUUUUCCUUUUUUUUCUUUAAAUAAAAUUUUAGAGUUUGGGAGCAUAGGACGGAGGUUUUUCGGGGUGCUAAUCUAGUUUAGAUAUCGGUGUUUCCUCCUGAUGUCUACCCUUACUCCUUGCUUAGAAAAAAAAAACUUUUAUUGAAGUAUUAUUAGUUAAUAUUAAUAUUACAUUUAUGUGAAAAUGUGUAUGAUGUGAUGUGAACACUGCCCAAAUUUAUUUAUUUAUUUUUCAUUGGGUUAGUAAUUAAUAGUAUUAUGUUUAUCUUAAAAGUUCGAGAAUAUGAUCAAUGGAUCGCGGGCGAGGGAUUAACACAAGUCUUAAUCAAGAAACAGAAGCAAACAGUAGAAAAAAUAGUCUUGAGAAAGUCGCCUUAUAGAACCCGUGCAAGGGUGAUCCUCCUCCAUUUGCGCAAUGAAUUUAUUAUAUUGGAAUGCCAGGGGUAUUGCCGAUACAAGAAUUGUGUUAAAUUUUUGGAAAAUGUUAACCAGUGUCCCCGGAGCACUGGUUAAGGAAGCAGAUAUAGUAGCUUUUGUAUUGAAAAUUGUGUAAUCAAUUUUUCAAAAGUAAAAAAAGUUUUACUUUUAAUUCAGGGGGGCAUUUUGCACAUAAGUGCAAAACUUCAGGGGGUAUUUGCAAAACGUCAUGUUGACUAACAUAAGAAUUUGACGGAGGGGGUAAAUUGAUUAAUGUUAUGCAAUUUCAGGGGGGUAAUUGACGAAACUUACAAUUUCAGAGAGUAAUUGCCUAUUUACUCGUUUUUAUUGGUUUGCAUAAUUGCGUAUUCCAUUAGACUGUUGUUGUUUGCUCUCGCAUUUUUCUGUUUGUUUUUUCUUUAAGUGUUUUGGUCUAGUACCCCCUCUUCUUUUAUAUAUAUAUAUAUUCCUUUUUUUUUAAUAAAAUUUUAGAGUUUGGCAGCAUAUGACAGAGGUUUCCCAAGGUGUCAAACUAAUUUGGAUGUCGAUGAUUUCUCCUAAUGUCUGCCCCUUACUCCCUGCUUAGAAAAAAACUUUUAUUGAAAGUUAAUAUUAAUAUUACAUUUAUCUAUAUGUGAUAUGAACACUGCUUGUUAACCGGUCUCUCAGAGCACUGGUUAAGAAAUCUAUUAAUAGAAUUGCUCUCUUAAAAAUAUAAAUUGUCUUUUUUUACCAAAUAAUAAUUACAUUACUUUUUAAUAAAAAUUUACUUUAUUUGGCGCUUAACCAAUGCUCCGGAAGACCUGUUAACAUUCUCCAUUAAUUAAUUUAUUUUUCAUUGGGGGUUAGUGUACAUCAUGUGAACACUGCCUAACUUAAUUAGUUUAUCUUUCAUUGGGUUAGUAAGUAUUUGAAUUAUCGGAGACUGUGUAUCACGUGCAGAGUACCAUUGUCUAAAUUAAUUGAUGAUUAUGAUUAUGUUUCUGUUCUUAAGCAGUAAGCAUGCAUCUACUACAUAGUUUAUUCUAAAUCCAAACAUAGUUUCUCAAUUCCUAAAACCCAUCUCAUAUAGUUCAUCGCUUUUUAACUGAGUCAUGAAUUAAUCUCUUCGUAUUUCUGUUUUGUCUUUCAGAUAUUUGUUAUUUUCCCAUUCCAAUGGCAAAAAAGAGAAAAAAAAACCAAAAACCAAAACUAAAAAAAUAGUGAUGGAAAGUUAUCUCAUAUAUUUUCUGCAUUUUUAAUUUGUACAUUAUGAAUAUGAAGAGAUUGGGUUCAGCUUAGUUUGCUGUAAUCGCUUUCUCCAUUUCAAAGGUUGGAGUUUUUAGAGGUACGCAUUAAUUUAUUUGUUUUCCUUCACUAACAUAACAUAAUUGUGAUUGAAGUUUGUUUUAAUAUUUGUUGUUAUUUGCAGAUUUUAAGUUUCUGCUUUUGAAGCCAUUUUGCAUUUUGUGAUUGAAGGCCAUUUUGCAUCAAUAGCAUCGGUUGUUCCGUUGAUUCAUAAUCCAGGUAAGAGGUUCAUGACUACUUGUUUACAAUUAAAACAAUUUAGGGGCCAUUUAUUAUUUAUUUUUUUAAGAAAAAAUUACUUUAAAAAAAAUAAUCAAUUUUAAGAGCAUUGUGUCUCUUUGUUACAACUUAAAAAAAAAAAACUAAAAAUAGCUUCGAUUUGAAUAUGUUAAGAGUAGUUCCUCAUAAUAUGGAUUUUUUUUAUAGAGAAGGAAAAUAAGUGUGAAAAGAUUGAGAUGAUUUAAAAAAAGAAAAUAAGUGUCAAAAGACGGUGGUUAAGUGCCGAUGAAUUAAAUUGGAUUUCGACAGUUAACUGCCGAAGUUUUAUAGUUAACUGCAGCCGGUUCCAUUUUCGGUGGUUAACUGCCGAAGGAUAUUUUAGUAUUUUACUCGUAUUUCUCAGCGAUACCACAUGUGUCAACGUCAAUUUUCUUAAUUUAUCUAUAGACUUCGUUGGGGAAGUAAAAUAUGCCCACUGUCUAAAUUAAUUUAUUAAUUUUCAUUGUAGUGUAGCAAUUAGUAUUAAUAUUAUGUUUAUGUGAAAAUUAAUGUGCAUCAUGUGAUGUGAAGACGACUUAUUCCACUGCCUAAAUUUAUUUAUUUAUUUUUCUUUAGAUUUUUCAUUGGGUUAGUAACUAUACACUUAUUAUAUUUAUCGGAGAGUGUGUCAAUCACGUGCAGAGUACCACUGUCUAAAUUAAUUUAUUAAUUUUCAUUGUAGUGUAGCAAUUAGUAUUAAUAUUAUGUUUAUGUGAAAAUUAAUGUGCAUCAUGUGAUGUGAAGACGACUUAUUCCACUGCCUAAAUUUAUUUAUUUAUUUUUCUUUAGAUUUUUCAUUGGGUUAGUAACUAUACACUUAUUAUAUUUAUCGGAGAGUGUGUCAAUCACGUGCAGAGUACCACUGUCUAAAUUAAUUUAUGAUUAUGUUUAUGCUCCUAACCAUGCAUCUUUAUAGGUGGCAUUUAGGGUGGGUGAGGGAAAGAGUUUCCUAUCAUGGAAAAAUAAAUUUUAACUAUUAAAUUGAAUAAAGAGCAUAUUCUUAUCAUACUCCAUCAAUACUAUAUUAUUUUUUACACUAUCUUCCCCCUCUCUUCCAUGUCCCACUCACCCACAAUCACCACAGCCACCAACAUCAAACCCAUUUCUCAAUUGUUGUACUAUAGAUCCAUAUUCAACCAGCAUAUUAGAAAACUAAGAAAAUAAACCUUUAAAUAUCUUGCUUCUAUUCUUGCCUCUACUUCUUCAUACAUAAAAAUAAACCCUUAAAUAUUAAAAUUAAGAAGCAAAGUGCAGACAAAGUAUAAGAUCUACGAAGUUUUUUUGUUUUUUUUUUAAGGUAAAGAUCUAUACAAGUUAUGCCACCGAAAUUUACUCUUCAUUUUUGAAAGAAAUUUAGUUGAUGUUAAUCCCACCGUUUUCCUAUUUUUUUUUCCCUUUUUCAGCAACAAAAAAAGUGUCUUAUUUUUGUUUUGAAACAAAAUCUACUAUUGAAACUCCAUGAACAAAUUGUGGUCUCUAUUUGUUGUUGUUGGCGUUUGGUGGUGGUGGUGGUGGGUGAGUAGAGACAUAGAGGGAAGAGAGAAGGAUGAUGGAAGAUGAUGUAAAAAUAAUAUAACGUUGAGAGACUAUCAUAAUACCGGUCUUUCUUUGAUCUAAUGCUUAAAAAAUAUCUUUCCCAUGGUGGGAAAUUCUUUCCCUCACCCACCCUAAAUGCCACCAUCUUUAUAUGUGGCAUUUAGGAUCUUUAUAUGUGGCAUUUAGGGUGGAAAUGGGAAAGAGUUUCCUACCAUACGAAAAUAGCUUUGAACCAUUAGAUUUAAGAUCUUAUCAUAGUCUCUCCACACUAUGUUUUUUCCCAUUAUUUUCAACCUCUCAACAUGCAAACAUCCCAGAAAAGAAAAAAAAACUCUCAAUACUUUGUAACACUUGUAACAAUUUCACAAAAACUAUUCAUAACUACAAAAACUAUUCAUAACUUCUCCAAUUCAAAAUUAUGUUCAACUACAGACCAUAAUUUUAUCAUAAAGUUCAAAUGUAACUACCCACACCUCUACAACCCAUCUCCCUCCUUGUCAUCACCACUUCACUGGACCUUCCUACCCAUUUCCUAGGAAAUCAAGUAGGUGUCAUGGCUAUUCAAUGCACAUCUCUGUAUGCAUUACCCCUCUUCUCACUCCCUCUCUCCACGGCUUUCUUCCUCUUUUUUUGCUGUCAUAAUCCCCCAUCUUAAGAAAAUAAAAGAAAGAAAAACAAAUCCUUCAAACCUUCAAUCAAUUAAAUACCCAGUCUUUCAAAUUCAUACUUGUAUUUGAACCAUAAUCACAAACUGUAAUUAACAAUUGGGGUUGAGAUUUUGGAUUUGUUCUCCAAUUUUACACUGUACACUUCGAGAAAAUAAUGAAGAAGGAAAAAUGGGUUUGAGCGGUGGUUAUGGCUUGAGUCACAUCCUUCACUCUAUCCAUUGAUUGAAGAAGAUUAAAGUGAUAGGUGUUGAUGGUGGGUCUCUCAUGGAGGUUGUUGAAACUAAGGUUGAAGAUAAAGUGAAAAACAAUAUAGUGUGGAUAGACCAUAAUAAAACCAAUGCACCUAUUUAAUCUAAUGGUUGAGAUUAACUUUCUCAUGGUGCACAAAUCUUACCCAUGUGCACCCUAAAUGCCACCCUUCCAAAUACAAACAUAGUUUCUCAGAGUUUAUUGCUUUGAACUGAAACAAAAUAUAGCUUGGUUGAUUGUCUUUCAAAUUUGUGUCAUUAUUCUCAUUCCUAUGGCAAAAAAAAGAAAAAGAAAACCAAAAACCAAAACUCAAAAAUAGUGAUGGAAAGUUAUCUCAUAUAUUUUAUGUAUUUUUUAAUAGUGAAGAGAUUGGGUGGGUACACAUUAGUUUCUUUUGAAGCCUUUAAAAUUUUGCAAUUUGUGAUUGAAGUUUGUUUUAAUAUUUUGUUAUUGUUGUUUGCAGAUCAUUUAGUUUCUUCUUCUUUUGAAGACAAUUUGCAUCAGUCUUGUAGAUCGCAUCAUCAAUAGAACCCGUUGUUCCAUUGGUAAGAGAUUCAUGUUUUUUUUUUUUUUGGUCAAGUAGUAUAGUGGCUAGAACUCACACAAUUAAAUUGUGGAGAAGUGGAGUGUCCGGGGUUCGAACCCCGGCCCCUGCAUAUAAUAUGCAAUAUCCCUACCAACUGAACUAAGUUCACUGGGAUUAAGAGAUUGAUGUUCUAUUACAAAGGCCUAAUGAUCUUUGUUUUUAGUAACUUAAUUUUUUUUAUACAAGCAAAUGAAUUAAUGUGAGUAUAAAGGGUAUUCAGUCCUAUUGCAAAGUAAUGAUAACCACUUUGAAGACAAGUCAAAGGAUUAGAAUUUAGAACACCAAACAAAAAAAUUUACACUUUGCUUAAUUUUAGAUCUAGCUACAAACCAGAACCAAGAUAUAGAGUUUAGAUGCUAUCUAUUUAUUUAAAAUUAUAACAAAAUAACAACUUAGAAACCUCGACAUACAACUGUGGAGACUAAUCUUUUAAGUUUAGUGAGAUCUAAAUUGUCAACAAACUCUCCCUGAGAGUUUUUGUUCUGUCAAAUUAUCUUUCAUUGGGUUAAUAAUCGGAGACUGUGUAUCAAUCACGUGCAGAGUACCGCUUUCUAUUAUUUUGUAAAAUAACCCAAGAAAACAUAAAUUAAUUAAAGGGUCCUUAAAAAAAAUAAAAAUAAUUAAAGGUUAAAUAUGUUUUUGGUCUCUAUAAAUAUAUCAAUUUUUCUCUUUCAAAAAAGAAAUAUAUCAAUUUUUUCGUUUUAAUCCCUUUAAAAUUUUCAUUCAACUUUUAGUCCUAUAAAAUUUUCAAUCACUAUUUUUAGUCCCUAUUAUUUACAAAAUAUUUGUUCCUAUUAUUUAAAUUUUUCGAUAAAAUAUAUUUAAGUUAAAUAAUACUAUAAUUAAUUGCCGUAAAUGAUUAAAUAUAGCAUAAAAGAAGGGUAAAAGAAAAAAUACUAGAAAUCUGAUUCGAACACCGUAAAGGAAAACCCAAAGUUUGGUAAAUCAUGGCCAUAAGCAAUUUUUGGGGCUAAUUUGGUUCAUCAAAAUUUUUGAUCAAAUUAAAUACAAAGCAAAAAUUUGGAAGGAUAGUGGUUGAGUUUAUGGAGAAAAAAAUAAUGGAAUGUUGGGUGUACUACAAAAGGGAAGGAGAAUAAUUUUCGAAUAUUUUAAGGGUAGAAACUAAAAUUCCGUUAAUGUCCUCACAUUUCCAACUAUUUCCCUGGCUUCUUUUGCAUUCAUCCAUACAAUAUAUUUUACUUUCACUUUCAGAUUUUGACUCAGGUCCCAAAGAAGAGGAGAAGAAACGAAAAUCAAUGGAAAUUUUAAUUUCUGUUGUUGCAAAAAUAGCAGAAUAUACCGUUGUGCCUAUUGGACGUCAAGCAAGUUACUUGAUAUUCUACAAAGUUAAUUUUAAGGUAUUAAAGGAUCAUGUUGAAGACCUUGAAGCUGCAAGAGAUGUAAUGAUCCAUUCGGUGGAAAGAGAAAGGGGAAAUGGUAAAGAAAUUGAAAAAAAUGUUUUGAAUUGGUUGGAGAAAGUGAACGAGGUCAUUGAAAAGGCGAAUUGCCUUCAAAAUGACCCUCGCCGUUUCAAUGUUAGGUGCUCAGCAUCGUCGUUCCCUAACUUGGUUUUACGUCAUCAAUUAAGUAGGAAAGCCACAAAAAUUGCAAAAGAUGUUCUCCAAGUUCAAGGUAGAGGAAUUUUUGAUCAAGUUGGUUACCUUCCCCCUCUGGAUGUAGUAGCCUCAUUCCCAACAAGAGAUGGUGAAAAGUAUGACACAAGAGAGUCACUUAAGGAGGACAUUGUGAAGGCUUUAGCAGAUCCUACUUCAUGCAACAUUGGGCUUUAUGGGCUGGGCGGGGUCGGCAAGACCACUCUAGUGGAGAAAGUUGCUCAAAUAGCCAAGCAACGUAAAUUGUUCAAUAAUGUGGUUAUGACAGAAGUAUCGAAAAAUCCAAACAUCAAAUUAAUUCAAGAUGAGAUUGCAGAUUUUUUGAAUCUACGAUUCGAAGAGACGACUAUUCUUGGCAGAGCACAACGCCUAAGGCAGAGAAUCAAGAUGGAGAAAAGUAUCCUUAUCAUUCUAGAUAAUGUAUGGACCAAACUUGAUUUGAAAAUUGUUGGGAUUCCAUUUGGCAAUGAACAUAAAAGUUGCAAAUUGUUGAUGACAAGUAGAAAUCAGGAAGUGUUGCUUCAAAUGGAUGUUCCAAAGGAUUUUAUUUUCAAAGUUGAACUUAUGAGUGAAAACGAGACAUGGAGCUUGUUUCAAUUUAUGGUUGGGGAUGUGGUUAAAGAUAGAAAUUUGAAAGGUAUACCAUUUCAAGUUGCCAAAAAAUGUGCAGGUUUGCCUCUUAGGGUAGUGACGGUAGCGGGUGCAAUGAAAAAUAAAAGGGAUAUCCAGUCUUGGAAAAAUGCAUUCAGACAAUUACAAAGUUAUGAUGAUACAUAUCAGAUGGAUGCAGAAACUUAUUCUGCUUUGGAAUUAAGUUACAAUUCAUUGCAGAGUGAUGAAAUGAGGGCUCUCUUCUUACUUUUUGCAUCACUGUCAGGCAAUGAUGUGGAGUACUUUCUCCAAGUUGCAAUGGGGUUAGACAUAUUGAAGCAUACCGUGGAUGACGCAAGAAACAAACUAGUCACAAUAAUCAAAUCUUUGGAGGCGACUUGUCUUUUGCAUGAAGUUAAAACAGAUGCAAAGAUCCAUAUGCAUGACUUUGUUCGUGAUUUUGCUAUCUCCGUAGCACGUAGGGACAAACAUGUAUUUAUAAGAAAACAAUCUGAUGAGAAAUGGCCAACCAAGGAUUUUUUGAAAAGGUGUAUGCAGAUCGUUCUUUAUAUGCAUGAUGAGCUUCCUCAAACGAUUGAUUGUCCAAAUGUUAAGCUUUUAUAUUUGUGCAAUAAGAAUCAAUCUUUAGAAAUCCCCGAUACCUUUUUUGAGGGUAUGAGAAACCUUGGAGCGCUAGCUUUGACGUCUUUGAAGUUGUCAUCAUUACCCACAUCAUUUCGGUUGCUAACAGGCCUUCAAACAUUGUGUUUGGAUCAUUGCAUUUUAGAAAAUAUGGAAGCAAUAGAAGCUUUGCAAAAUUUAAAAAUUCUUCGUCUGUGGAAAUCUUCGAUGAUCAAGUUGCCAAAAGAAAUAGGGAGAUUGAUUAAUUUGAGAAUGCUUGAUUUGAGCCACUCAGGAAUAGAAGUUGUCCCACCCAACAUCAUAUCAAGCUUGACUAAAUUGGAGGAGUUGUACAUGGGAAAUACCUCUAUUAAUUGGGAAGAUGUUAAUUCAACAGUUCAAAGUGAAAAUGCUAGUAUUACUGAGCUUCAAAAGCUACUCAACUUGACAGCUCUAGAAUUACAAAUUCGUGAGACUUGGUUGUUGCCAAGGGACUUGCGUUUGAUGUUUGAGAAGCUGGAAAGAUAUAAAAUAGCAAUCGGAGAUGUAUGGGACUGGUCUGACAUUAAGGAUGGAACCUUAAAAACAUUGAUGCUCAAACUUGGUACAAACAUACAUUUGGAGCAUGGAAUUAAAGCAUUGAUUAAAGGUGU
rnacentral:lncRNA from 1 species